GAUGAAGAACGCAGCGAAAUGCGAUAAGUAAUGUGAAUUGCAGAAUUCAGUGAAUCAUCGAAUCUUUGAACGCACCUUGCGCUCCUAGGUAUUCCGAGGAGCAUGCCUGUUUGAGUGUCAUUAAAUUCUCAACCAUUAUCAACUUUUGCUGAUAAUGGCUUGGAUGUGGGGGUCUAUUUUGCUGGCUUCUCAGAUAGUCAGCUCCCCUUAAAUGCAUUAGCCGGUGCCCCGCGUGGACUGUCUAUUGGUGUGAUAAUUAUCUACGCUAUAGACAUCUGCAAUCAUAUGGGUUUGCGCUGCUUCUAACAGUCUGUUGAUUCAGACAAUACAUGACAAUUUGACCUCAAAUCAGGUAGGACUACCCGCUGAACUUAAGCAUAUCAAUAAGCGGAGGA
rnacentral:misc_RNA from 1 species